UACGGGGGGGGCAAGCGUUGUUCGGAAUUACUGGGCGUAAAGGGCUCGUAGGCGGCCAACUAAGUCAGACGUGAAAUCCCCAGGCUUAACCUGGGAACUGCGUCUGAUACUGGAUGGCUUGAGAUUGGGAGAGGGAUGCGGAAUUCCAGGUGUAGCGGUGAAAUGCGUAGAUAUCUGGAGGAACACCGGUGGCGAAGGCGGCAUCCUGGACCGACACUGACGCUGAGGAGCGAAAGCCAGGGGAGCAAACGGG
rnacentral:rRNA from 1 species